rnacentral:rRNA from 1 species
AAUCUUCCACAAUGGACGGAAGUCUGAUGGAGCAAUGCCGCGUGAACGAAGAAGGUUUUCGGAUCGUAAAGUUCUGUUGUGAGGGAAGAACAAGUACGAGAGUAACUGCUCGUACCUUGACGGUACCUCAUUAGAAAGCCACGGCUAACUACGUGCCAGCAGCCGCGGUAAUACGUAGGGGGCAAGCGUUGUCCGGAAUUAUUGGGCGUAAAGGGCACGCAGGCGGUUAUUUAAGUCUGAUGUGAAAUCUUGUGGCUUAACCACAAGCGGUCAUUGGAAACUGGAUAACUUGAGUACAGAAGAGGAGAGUGGAAUUCCACGUGUAGCGGUGAAAUGCGUAGAGAUGUGGAGGAACACCAGUGGCGAAGGCGGCUCUCUGGUCUGUAACUGACGCUGAGGUGCGAAAGCGUGGGUAGCGAACA